ACUCCAUCGGGCCAAUCCUGUACGUACAACCGGCUGCCAUGGGAUUGUUGAUUUAAAUCGGCGGACCAGAAAUCGUGAUCCGAGUAGCCAAAGCAUUCAACUUAAUGGUCGUAAGCUGGACGGACAUCCUGCAUGGAGUCAAAAAAAAAGCAAAAAUUUGAUUUUAUAAGCCACGAUAUUAUUUUGUAAAGAAAAUUGUUAAAUCCAUGAAACCUAUCUGUUUUAGUAGCAGUGUGUUGUAUACUCAGGCGGCAGAGGUUGUCGAGAAGUUUCCCCCUGUUCCUUAAUGGAAUGAAUGUUCAUAAGCAAAUUUGCAUUUUGCGAAAACCAUUAAAUGGUCCAGAAAUUGUACUCCCAAAUAUUUUUAAAUGAGUUUGGGGCUUUGUGAAAUGCCGACAUUUCCCCCCAAAAGCUGUGUUUCCCUUUGCCAAAUACCUCUUGAAAACUACGUUUUAUUAUCAAAAAAUGCUAUUCCCACUAAUUUUAUACAAGAUUGUAAAGACUUGUUGUAUGUGAAGAUGUGAAUAAAUGAAAAUUAAACUAAA